GUGAGUGAACGCGGUGGCGACGGCCGGCGGGCGGUGGCCCAGGGCGCGGAGGGCGGACGGGGAAUGGCGCGCCCUGCGCCUCCAGCGUAACUGCGGCGCU
rnacentral:pre_miRNA from 1 species